ensembl:miRNA
CUUUGAUCUUUGUUGCGGCAUUCGGGAUCUUUAGUUGUGGUAUGCGAACUCUUAGUUGCAGCAUGUGGGAUCUAGUUCCCUGUCCAGGGAUCAAACC